UUUUAAAAAUAUUAAUAAAUUAAAAUAGAAAAUAAACAUUAAACACAUUCGACGGAGAAGCUUACGAUUGUUGUUUCCUCUGAAGCUUUCAAUCUCCAAUCUUCAAUUCCGGUAAAGCUUCCAAUCUCCGAUCUUCAAUUCCGUUGAAGCUUCCGAUCUUAGAGCUGCAAUCAGAGAGUUAAUUUCUGGGAUUCACGGCGAAAUCAUGGGUAUGUGAUUGUAGCUCUGGAUUUGUAACUCCUCCAUUGCAUUUAAUUAGACGUUUAUGAUUGUAGCUCUGGAUAUGGUUUGAUGUCGAUUUGUAACUCCUGCAUUUGAUUAGAGGUUUGUGAUUGUAGAUCUGGAUUUGGUUCGAUGUGGAUGUAUUUCUGGGUUUGUAGCUCCUAAAAUUGAUCAACGUUGUGAUUUUGCUCUAGAUUUGAUUAGCUUGUGAGUGUAGCUCUCGCUUUGAUUGGAUGUGGAUAUAGUUCUGGAUUUGAUUAGCUCCUCCAUUUGAUUAGCUCUCGAUUUGAACUCUUUUAGUGAUUAGUUCUUGAUUAAUAGCUCUUGGAUUUGAUUGUUGCUCUCGAGUUUCUAGUUUACUAUGAGUGUUAUUUAAUUUGUUCAUCAAUCACAACUAACAAUACAAUCCAUGAUUUCCUUUGUCUAAUAACAGGCUACAACUAUUUUAUUUUACAGAGUCUACAGAGCUUAUUAGAAGCACCAAGUUUUGCCCAAUUGGGAUAUUAUAAUCAUUUGUAUUCCACCCAUGGAUUGUAUAGACAUUACAAGAAUGUUGUUGUCUUUUGCAGCUAAUCUUGUUGUCUCUUUGGAUUUUUUUUUAGUUUGAUUUUGUAUUAGAAAUCUUGUUGGUUGCACAUGAAAAGUAGAAGGUACUUCAUCCAUCAGUCGGAACUUCUUCUAUAUGUGUUGUACAUGGAAUAGAGCAGGAUGCUCAUUUGUAUAUGUUUUAGGAAGGGCACAUACAUAUUUAGGAUGACUUUCCUAAAACAUAUUCAGGAUGCUCAUUUGUAAGAUAUUCACGAAUGAGAAGCUUUGUUUACUGGUUACAUGUUUUGUUACAAUAACAAUAGGUCUUGGGUUCAAGUAGUGGUUGAAUUUAUUUAUU